rnacentral:pre_miRNA from 9 species
UCUCGAUAGCGUAAAAGUUAACUGAAAUUUGUAUGGAGUUGCAACGUUUGCCGCUAGGGGCGCUGUUCCAACUGCAUACAAAUUUGAGUUUACUUUUACGCUAUCGA